rnacentral:rRNA from 1 species
GACGAACCGUGCGAACGUUGUUCGGAAUCACUGGGCUUAAAGGGCGCGUAGGCGGGCCGCAAAGUCAGAGGUGAAAUCCUCCAGCUUAACUGGAGAACUGCCUUUGAUACUGGCGGUCUGGAGUAAGGUAGGGGCAUGCGGAACUGAUGGUGGAGCGGUGAAAUGUGUUGAUAUCAUCAGGAACUCCGGUGGCGAAAGCGGCGUGCUGGACCUUUACUGACGCUGAGGCGCGAAAGCCAGGGGAGCAAACGGG